CUGCAUUAGCUAGUUGGUAAGGUAACGGCUUACCAAGGCAACGAUGCAUAGCCGACCUGAGAGGGUGAUCGGCCACACUGGAACUGAGACACGGUCCAGACUCCUACGGGAGGCAGCAGUAGGGAAUCUUCCGCAAUGGGCGAAAGCCUGACGGAGCAACGCCGCGUGAGUGAUGAAGGUCUUCGGAUCGUAAAACUCUGUUAUUAGGGAAGAACAUAUGUGUAAGUAACUGUGCACAUCUUGACGGUACCUAAUCAGAAAGCCACGGCUAACUACGUGCCAGCAGCCGCGGUAAUACGUAGGUGGCAAGCGUUAUCCGGAAUUAUUGGGCGUAAAGCGCGCGUAGGCGGUUUUUUAAGUCUGAUGUGAAAGCCCACGGCUCAACCGUGGAGGGUCAUUGGAAACUGGAAAACUUGAGUGCAGAAGAGGAAAGUGGAAUUCCAUGUGUAGCGGUGAAAUGCGCAGAGAUAUGGAGGAACACCAGUGGCGAAGGCGACUUUCUGGUCUGUAACUGACGCUGAUGUGCGAAAGCGUGGGGAUCAAACAGGAUUAGAUACCCUGGUAGUCCACGCCGUAAACGAUGAGUGCUAAGUGUUAGGGGGUUUCCGCCCCUUAGUGCUGCAGCUAACGCAUUAAGCACUCCGCCUGGGGAGUACGACCGCAAGGUUGAAACUCAAAGGAAUUGACGGGGACCCGCACAAGCGGUGGAGCAUGUGGUUUAAUUCGAAGCAACGCGAAGAACCUUACCAAAUCUUGACAUCCUUUGACAACUCUAGAGAUAGAGCCUUCCCCUUCGGGGGACAAAGUGACAGGUGGUGCAUGGUUGUCGUCAGCUCGUGUCGUGAGAUGUUGGGUUAAGUCCCGCAACGAGCGCAACCCUUAAGCUUAGUUGCCAUCAUUAAGUUGGGCACUCUAAGUUGACUGCCGGUGACAAACCGGAGGAAGGUGGGGAUGACGUCAAAUCAUCAUGCCCCUUAUGAUUUGGGCUACACACGUGCUACAAUGGACAAUACAAAGGGCAGCGAAACCGCGAGGUCAAGCAAAUCCCAUAAAGUUGUUCUCAGUUCGGAUUGUAGUCUGCAACUCGACUACAUGAAGCUGGAAUCGCUAGUAAUCGUAGAUCAGCAUGCUACGGUGAAUACGUUCCCGGGUCUUGUACACACCGCCCGUCACACCACGAGAGUUUGUAACACCCGAAGCCGGUGGAGUAACCUUUUAGGAGCUAGCCGUCGAAGGUGGGACAAAUGAUUGGGGUGAAGUCGUAACAAGGUAGCCGUAUCGGAAGGUGCGGCUGGAUCACCUCCUUU
rnacentral:rRNA from 1 species